CCUACGGGGGGCAGCAGUGAGGAAUCUUGCGCAAUGGGCGAAAGCCUGACGCAGCGACGUCGCGUGACUGAUGAAGUCUUUCGGGAUGUAAAGGUCUUUUUUGGGGGAAGAAGGAUGUGACGGUACCCCAAGAAUAAGCCCCGGCUAACUACGUGCCAGCAGCCGCGGUAAUACGUAGGGGGCGAGCGUUGUCCGAAUUCACUGGGCGUAAAGCGCGCGUAGGCGGAUCUUUAAGUCAGAGGUGAAAUGCCGAGGCUCAACCUCGGAACUGCCUUUGAAACUGGGGAUCUUGAGGUAUGGAGAGGGAAGUGGAAUUCCAGGUGUAGCGGUGAAAUGCGUAGAUAUCUGGAGGAACACCCGUGGCGAAGGCGGCUUCCUGGUCAUAUCCUGACGCUGAGGUGCGAAAGCUAGGGGAGCGAACGGGAUUAGAUACCCCUGUAGUC
rnacentral:rRNA from 1 species